rnacentral:rRNA from 1 species
GUGGGGAAUCUUGCGCAAUGGGCGAAAGCCUGACGCAGCCAUGCCGCGUGAAUGAUGAAGGUCUUAGGAUUGUAAAAUUCUUUCACCGGGGACGAUAAUGACGGUACCCGGAGAAGAAGCUCCGGCUAACUUCGUGCCAGCAGCCGCGGUAAUACGAAGGGGGCUAGCGUUGCUCGGAAUUACUGGGCGUAAAGGGCGCGUAGGCGGACAGCUUAGUCAGAGGUGAAAGCCCAGGGCUCAACCUUGGAAUUGCCUUUGAUACUGGCUGUCUUGAGUUUGGGAGAGGUGAGUGGAACGCCGAGUGUAGAGGUGAAAUUCGUAGAUAUUCGGAAGAACACCAGUGGCGAAGGCGACUCACUGGCCCAAUACUGACGCUGAGGCGCGAAAGCGUGGGGAGCAAACAGGAUUAGAUACCCCGGUAGUCC